GGAGAAGUACCCAAGCAUGGCCGAAGGGGCUCCCCUGCUAAGGGAGUAGGCCGGGAUAACUGGCGCGAGGGUUCGAAUCCCUCCUUCUCCGCCA
rnacentral:tRNA from 1 species